GGGAUGAGAGAGAGAGAGAGAGGAGAGAGAGAGAUGGACCUCUUCUGCGUCGGCUGCCACAUCCUCCUCCUCCUCCUCCCGCCUUUCACGGCGACUGCCGGAGGAGGCUACGCGGAGGACCACAGCGCUCUGCUUUCCAUCAAAACCGGCCUUGCCGAUUCUGGCGCAGUCGCGCUCGCCGCCUGGGGCAACGCCACCAACCACUGCUCCUGGUCGUGCGUCACCUGCGAUAGCAGAGGCUCAGUCGUCGCUCUCGAUCUGUCUGGAAGAAACCUCUCUGGACUCCUCCCCCCGGCUGUCGGCCGCCUCCGCUUCCUCUUUCACCUUUCCGUCGCCGGCAACUCCUUCUCCGGCGCCAUUCCUCCGGAGCUCUCCUUCCUUACCUCCCUUCGUUACCUCAACCUCUCCAACAACAUUUUCAACGGAUCGUUUCCACCGGCCCUCGGCCGCCUCGCGCGGCUCCGCGUCCUCGACCUCUACAACAAUAACCUCACCGGGCCGCUUCCCCCUGCGGCGGCGGCUAUGUCCCAGCUCCGUCACAUCCACCUUGGGGGCAACUAUUUCUCCGGUUCUAUUCCGCAGGAGUACGGCAGCUGGAUGUUCCUCAAGUACCUUGCGCUCUCCGGCAACGAGCUCAGUGGCCCUAUUCCCUCGGAGAUCGGCAACCUCUCUGCGCUACGCGAGCUCUACAUCGGCUACUACAAUAGCUACGAGGGCAGCCUCCCGGCGGAGAUCGGCAACCUCUCUUCACUCGUCCGCUUCGAUGCCGGAAACUGCGGUCUCUCCGGCCGCAUCCCGCCCGAGAUUGGCAACCUCCAGAGCCUGGAUAGCCUCUUCCUCCAGGUGAAUGGCCUUUCCGGCGAGAUCCCGCUGGAGUUUGGGCGACUGAAGAGCCUCAAGUCCCUCGACCUCUCCAACAAUGCCCUCACGGGAGAGAUUCCUCCGAGUUUUGCCGAGCUCAGCAACCUCACCCUCCUCAACCUCUUCCGUAACAAGCUCUUCGGUGCCAUCCCGGAGUUCGUCGGGGACCUCCCCCAGCUCGAGGUGCUCCAGGUGUGGGAAAACAACUUUACCGGAAGCAUCCCUCGACGGCUUGGUACGAACGGGCACCUUCAGCUCCUCGACUUUUCGUCGAACAAGCUCACUGGUGCGCUACCUUCGGACCUUUGCUACGGCAACAAGCUUGAGACAUUGAUCGCCCUCAGUAACUUUCUCUUCGGUCCGAUUCCGGACUCCCUUGGCCGCUGCGAAUCCUUGAGCCGCAUCAGAAUGGGGGAGAACUACCUCAAUGGAACCAUCCCCCAGGGCCUAUUUACCUUGCCGAAUCUGUCUCAGGUGGAGUUCCAAGGCAAUCUUCUCUCCGGCGGGUUUCCCAACACCGGCAACUCUUCGAUCUCUCCUACUCUCGGUCAAAUUUGCCUCUCGAACAACCGUCUAACUGACCCCUUGCCUCCGUCUAUUGGGAACUUCCCCGGCCUUCAGAAGUUGCUGUUGAACCAGAACUUUUUUAUCGGCAGCAUCCCGCCCGAGAUCGGGAAGCUUCAGCAACUCUCGAAACUGGAUCUCAGCGGGAACCGGUUCUCGGGCUCUAUUGCGCCGCAAAUUACCAAGUGUCAGCUUCUGACAUUUAUGGAUCUUAGUAGAAACGAACUCUCCGGCGAUGUUCCGGCCGAGAUUGCAGACAUGCGGAUCUUGAACUACCUCAACUUGUCGAGGAAUCAUCUCGAGGGCCAAAUUCCAGCCGCCAUCUCGUCAAUGCAAAGCUUGACGGCUGUGGAUUUCUCCUACAACAACCUCUCCGGUGUCGUCCCGAGCACCGGCCAGUUUAGCUACUUCAAUGCCACUUCCUUCAUCAGUAAUCCAGAUCUAUGUGGCCCUUAUCUUGGCCCGUGCCAGUCAGGGAUCUUGCACCCUGCUCGUGCCAAAGGAGCCCUCUCGGCAUCCUUCAAGUUUUUGCUAGUCAUCAGCGUCCUUAUCUGCUCUUUUGUCUUCGCCAUUGCGGCCAUUGUUAAGGCCCGGUCUUUGAAGAAGGCUAACAAUGCCCGUGCAUGGAAGUUCACCACCUUUCAGCGGCUGGAUUUCACAUCCGACGAUGUGCUGAACUGCUUGAAGGAGGAGAACAUAAUAGGCAAAGGAGGGGCUGGAAUAGUUUACAAGGGUGUCAUGCCUGAUGGCAAACAAGUAGCAGUUAAGAGGCUUCUGGCGAUGAGCCGAGGAUCAUCACAUGAUCAUGGAUUCAAUGCAGAGAUUCAGACUCUUGGAAGGAUUCGCCACCGGCACAUUGUGAGGCUGUUGGGCUUUUGCUCCAACCAUGAGACUAAUCUUUUGGUGUAUGAGUAUAUGCCUAAUGGCAGCCUUGGGGAGGUUCUCCAUGGCAAGAAAGGUGGGCAUUUGCACUGGGAUACAAGGUAUAAGAUUGCCGUAGAGGCAGCAAAGGGUCUUUGCUAUCUCCACCAUGAUUGCUCGCCAUUGAUCCUCCAUCGAGACGUCAAAUCCAACAACAUCCUCUUGGGUUCCAACUUUGAUGCUCAUGUGGCCGACUUUGGACUUGCCAAGUUCUUGCAGACCUCAGGCACCUCCGAGUGCAUGUCAGCCAUUGCUGGUUCUUAUGGUUACAUUGCUCCAGAGUAUGCCUACACCCUCAAGGUGGACGAGAAGAGUGAUGUUUACAGUUUCGGUGUUGUUCUUCUAGAACUAGUAACCGGGAGAAAGCCCGUUGGUGAAUUUGGCGAGGGAGUAGACAUUGUUCAAUGGGUUAGAAAGAUGACCGGCUCCGACAAGGAACAAGUGAUCAAAAUCCUGGAUCCAAGGCUUCCAUCUCUUCCCAUCCAUGAGUCGAUGCACGUCUUCUACGUCGCUAUGCUCUGCGUGGAGGAGCAGAGCAUCGAGCGACCAACAAUGAGGGAGGUAGUCCAGAUACUCAGCGAGCUCCCAAAGCCUCCACUGAAGCAAGGAGAAGACUCCUCCAGUGGCAAUCGGGCCUCCUCACAGUCACCAGCCAAGGAAAUGGAAACUGAAGAGCAGCAGCAAGAACAACUACCAGCUUCCACUUCACCACCAUCAGAUUUCCUUAGCAUCUAGUGCUGUCGAAUUAAGGGUGCAGCUGAUUUUGGGCUAUCCUGCAACGCCCCCUCACAUGAACUCUUGAAUCAAAUGCUCUCCUCCUCCGUGUUGGUCCUGAAACAGAUUGAGGGGUGCUGAGAGUUAACGUAUUCAUCUUUUACCAUCAUCUUGAAUCAAAUGCUCUCUCUGAAGUCUGAAGAGCAAGCUCUGCCCCCUCUGUAAAUGCAGUCUGAUGGAAGUAAGGACAGUUGAUUGGCAUUUUCAAAUACUGCAAGUUCGUGCUUAGCUUUGCUCUGUAGCUUGCCCUCUGUAGUAUGGUGGCCAUCUACUUCACCUGUUCAUGAAUAGUUGCAGCCUGGAGUAUUUAAUGGUGGAACCAGUCAUUUGGAGAGUUUGAGCAGAUGGUCCCAAGAAGGUAGUGCCCGUAGGCAAAGGCCAUGGUACAGAGAUACAACGAAGUAAAAAAACAAAUAGCAGAAGACUGCAACAGCGCACAGUUUGUGUAGAAUGGGCAAUUUGGCAGCAUCCACUCCAAAUGCAGUCUCACACUCUCACUACAUGAUACACCAAAUGGACUAGGGCCAGAAAUAAAAGUUUAUAAAGAAUUUAUUUAUAUAAAAAUAUUUUAUAUUUAAUAUUUUUUUUAUCAAGUUUUAUAGUAGUAAAUUC